UGUUUUCUUCCGCCAUAUUUAUUUGUUGGGUGUAUUUUACGGGUCCAUUUGGUGAGGGAAGUUCCAGGUUGCGGCUUGCUGAUACAGAAAACACCACAGAGAGAGAUGGCGUUUGCAUUGAAGAUGAAGACAGUUUUGUACACGGCGCUCUUUGCUCUAGUGCUGGCUAUCCUUACUCCUACCAGAGAUUGUGCUAGCACAAUUACGCCACAUCUAAACGGUACGACGCAUUCACCUAGUGCAGAGCCAGAAACGACCCCUGGCAGCUCAGGGACGGUAAUCGGUAGUUCCUUCGUCACGAUAAUUCUCCCGGCAUUCAUUGCUUUACUGAGGCUAAUACAUUAAACAAACCAAAUUCUACGAUUUCGACAUACUUAUAUGAAAGAUGUUUUCAUAAUUUUCGCGCGUUUCACCUUGUCGUCACGCCAAUACGUCAUCUCCUCAUAUCGGAUGCGGCAACUAAUAAGGAGGCUACGUUUUGUCAUGUGAUCGGUAUACUGACGUCAAUUCCAUCAAAUCGACCCAAAAAUAUGGACCUUUAUACUACGAUUCCGAUAUUGAAGAAGUAUAUAUAUAUAUACUUGUACUCUAAUCGACCAAAGGGGCUCUACAAUUGCAAAAAUAUACUUGCAUUUAUGCAUGAUGCUUUAUAAAAAGGGGAGUCGGCUAUUUAUUAGCGAUCGCUAAACUCUUAUAUUCUGCUCUGCCUUGCAAGAUGUCCUUUAAGGUCAAUGACAGGCGUUCAUCCAAACUGGGACCAUCUUCCUUUUCUGGGACACCAUGUCGAGGCAGUUGUACUUGCUGAUCCACCUAUUCAGAAAGAAAUGUUUUUGAGUUUUUCGGCAAAAACAAAAUGUACCCCUUGAGGCUUUUCAGCGAAAUGAGUCGCAAGGACAUUUCCACCUCGCUGGAAAACCUUUACAGUGUGCAUAAACAUGCAUAUUUUGCUGUUAACGGUUUUUUCAAAAGCUCGAAAACCUUUAUUUUUAAAAGCGCACUCUGUAAAAUGUGAACGUACUAAAUUUUGUAAACUCGUUUUAAAUUAACCUCAUUGUAUGAUGUUGUAUUCAAACGUAUCUAAGGGAAGACAACAUGGAACGCAUUAGUUAAUAUUUCUCAAGAAAAGUUUUUGAUACUCCUACCUCGUAUGCCAAAAUUUGAAAAAUCGAGAGACGGAGUAAAUGUAUAUUGAAAAUCACUGUUUGUGCCUCAGGAUGAAGCUCAAGUCUCUGUGGAGGCUGUAAUAUAAUAUACCCAACACGUAAAUGGUCCUGGCCUUGGCCUUGCUAAUAUUAUUAGCAAGGCCAGGACCAUUUCCUGUGUCGUGCGUUUUAAUUCAACUGCACUUCAUGACGUGGUUUCAUGCCACUGAAUAAACUCGUGCAAUCGAAUUAACGCACUCGUGAAACGAGAGAUAUUGCUGAUUAAUGUAAUGUCACUUUUAAUGUUUGUUACCUCAGUUAUCUUGUUGUAUCUUGUUCAGCACAUGAUAGGAUCAUGCUGACUCUAAUGCGUUUGCGUCACCACUAUCUAGAUUUUGGGUGAGUGAUUUAGCGAUCUCAAAACAUUGCGGGUCAAGAUGGAUUAGGAUGAGUGAGCCAUUUUUUCCCGAUCACGUGAUACAAAGCAAAGUAGACGCACAAGAGCACAUUUUAUUGAAACACUUUAGAAAAAUUAUUUGAAGUCCAAUCCUAAUCCGUCCAUAUGGGAACACAAAAUCAUGCAAUCAGCUUUGGUUUUGGAAAGUCUUUAUACUGGCAAAUGAAAUGGACCUCGCCUUAUAUAUGACGUUGCAACCUGCAACUGAUUAAAAUACAGGCUAGAAUCCACUCACUAGCUCAGAACGGCAGGCAUAAUUCAGUAUCAAAAUUAUUUCAACUGUGCAAUUUAUUUAAACUGCAUAUAACAUCAGGUGCAUUUUACGGCGAUGCGCCUCUAGCUGUGCCAUCCUUCCCACCAUGCUGUUGGGCGCGUGCCGUCGGAAGAUCCUUAUGACAACCCGCUGGCAUUAAGUUUUGAUUCAGGUACAACCGCCCGCGCUUUCACAUCGGCAUUUAGCAGAUAAAGAAAAGGACGGUUGCACUGCAAGACAAAACCCGCAGGGAUAGAGGGUCUCUUCUGACGUGUGCCACCCGACAGUUCGCGACCCUGAUGUCCCAAGACGCUUACUCAAUCCUCGUGCUCCAUUUUCAUUUCUGGAUCUGCCCUUGCACAGUGGUAUAUGAUUGUUGAGCUAUUUGAGUUCGCAUGAGGAUUUUCGUCACAUGGUAAUAAAUUUCAU